CGCCCCAUCUACUAAUUGGUCAGGUAGUCACAUUCUCAGUGUGAAAUACGGGUUCAAAUCCUGUUGGGGUGA
rnacentral:tRNA from 1 species